rnacentral:lncRNA from 1 species
AUUCUCAGUUCCAUGGAUAUGCAAUCAUCACAUCCAGUGAACCAAAAUCAAAAUCAAUGAUGAAUCAACAAAAAUUAAUGUAUAAGAAGACAAGUGAAUAUAAAAAAAUUGAUUAGUGGACCAAAAUCAAAACCAAAAACUAAAUAGAAAACUAGCCAUCAAAGAUCAUUUCAGUAAAAUCAAAGUUAAUUCAUUGUGUUCCGUUUCAGAAUCGUUCUUGAUUCAUCAACAAUUCAACAUAGUAGCCUUUCCCAUUUUGAAUAAAUGGUUUCAUGAUGGAAUGGAUAAAUGGAGGUGAAGCUAUAGGGUAUGUUUGGCAAAAGUAGCUGGUGACUGGUAGUUGGUGGCUGAAAGCUGGUAACUAGUAGCUAGUAGCUAUAGCUUUUUGGAUAUAUUUGGUAUUUUUAUUGAGUAUGAGUUUUUUCUUAAAAGAUUAAAACUAGAAGCUCCUAAAAACUUCUAAACACUCCAUGCCAAACAUACCCGUAAUAGUUUUUUGAAGGGUAAAUUUUGGUGUUUAAUCUCUUUUACAUCUCAACUCCUUUAUCAAAUUUUCUAAUUAAAUACCCGCUCUUUCACUAGAAUUUAUUCAAACAUUUUAAUUACAACAUUCUAGUUAGAAUAAAAGUUUUAAUAUUUAUUUAAAGACUGUAGAUGAUAAUAAAAACGUUAAAAAACGAUCAGUUUGAAUAUUUUUUGAUGUCAAAUCAUUUUAAUGUAAACAUCCUAUACCUAAUAACAAAAUCUGAUUAUAUAAUACAUAUAAAUCUUGUUUUUUAUGAAGAAAAUUUAAAAUAAAAUUCAGUUUAUAUGUCGUAUUAAACACCAUAAAUUAAAAAAAAAAAGAAAAAAAAACAGAAGAUGAGAGAAUGAUCUUACUUCCAACGCUCGAAUAUAUUCCCAUUCUUCUUGUUUUUUCCCGUUCCCUGUAUCAAACAUAAAAAUAAUCGCAACCACUUUUAUUUUUUAGUAUUAGGCAUGUAAACAAAUUGAACUUACACGAAUGAGACCUGUUCGGGUUCGUUUAACUUUAACUGAACAGAUUUUCUUGUCCAUUUGUUCGUUAAGGAAUUAACGUGUUUGUGUCUGUUUAUGUUCGUUGUUUGAAAAUUCUUAACAAAGGGUUCACGAACAUAAACGACACAAGCAAACAAUAAUGACACAAACAAACAUAAAAUAAACGACACAAGCAAACAAUAAUUGACACAAACAAACAUAAAUGAUGAUAGAUAUGAAUACGUAACUAAAAAUAUGUUAAAAGAUAAAUGAUGAGACCUUGCAUCCAGCACAGUCGAUGGCACCUUGGCCUCCACAGGUUUCACAUUUCUUGAAAAUCUGCAAAUAUCAUAUUAUUAUUGCAGUAAAUUAGAAAAGCAUUUUAUGUGUACAUGCUGUGUAUACAAUUAUGAAUACACUAUUAUUAUUUUUUUAGUAGUUUCACAUGCAGUGUAACCUUUUAAUCCUGUCAUUUGUGGGACUUGAAUACAAAACCUUCAAACCUAGGCAUUUAUAAAAGUUGUCCAAUGGGCCACCAAGUCAUUUCACUUUCUCUCAAAACAUAUUUGAAGUUUUUUCUUCGGUGAGAAAAGGGGUCAAACUAGAACGAAUACAAUGUUAGAAAUUAAUUUUACACGUUUAAAUUUAUGUGAAUUCGUAAAUAAUUAAAAUUUACACAUGUGUAAGUUUGUCAUUUACACAUGUGUAGAUUUGUUAUAUUUACACGUGUAAAAAUGCUAGUAAGAGUGAUAUUGAGAGGAGAAAUGAAUUAAUUGAUGUUCGUUCUCAAGAUAACGCUUCCCUAUAUAGAACUUAAAAGCUUUAUUUGAAUGUCAAAAGGACUAGAGACAUUUUUAACAACCACAAAUAGAAGAUAAACAGAUUAAUAGAAGAUAAACAGAACAAUACAAUAGUUUGAUGUGGCCGGCGUUUAAUGAUAUUAAUGAAAUAGUAAUGAAAAGGUAUGAAGUAAUAAAAACCCGAGUUGGGAAAGAUGGUUAAAUUGCAUACCGAAUAAUGUUGACCAUCUUUGUAACGGUACCUUUAUCAAUCUAUAGUUACAAGAAUGAUUAAGAGUGUUGUUAAUUAAGACCCCUUGAUGCUCAUAAUCAUUUCAUUACAUCAGUCAUACGCUAUUUGUUGCCCUAUAUACAAUGUUCCAUCAAAUCACUUUGAAGGUUGAUUAGUAGUAACACAGAGAAACCACAGGGUGUCAGCCCAGUGGCCACCGGCGGCACCCAUCUAAAACCGGUUCGGGAGUCCAAAGUGGCGCGGGUUCGAAUCCUGCUUGUAGGCUCUUCGCUCCCCUCGAACUCGGCUGGGUAGUCACCGCCAGGCAGCGUUGCCGGGUCGCUAGCUUGUGAAGGGAGAUCCCUUCCGCGGUCAGGGGUCCCGUGCAAUUACCCUUUUUUAGUAGUAACAUAGAGAGUAAUGAAUAAAACUUAC